AUGUAGGACUCAGAUGACUUAUGGCACAUCUAGAUGUGCUUUAGCAAAACUAUAUUUUUCAGGUAAAUCUCUAUUUCUAAUGUUUGAGUUGAUGAAUAGUAUCCAUAGUUUAUUUUCGUCCCAUCAUUUUCUUUUGUUUUAUUUCACUGUUUUUUUCUCGUCUCCGCUGCCCCCGUACAAACGCAUAAAAAAACUCCAUCACUGCAGAAAAUCCGCUCCUCUCGAUCCCAUCCCAGGGAUCGAAGUCCCUCCUUCGAUGCCGCGAUCUACGAUCUCUCUGCCGCCGACUCUUCCGACCCUUGCCGCCGACGCUUCAUUGCCGCGGCCCACGUACAAAGUCGUUCGUUGCCGCCGCCGCCGUCCAAGGGGAGACGCCGUCGUCGCGUCUCCAGGGCAGGGCGGUUUGAAUCCCUGCCGCCGACGUACGGGAUCGCCGCCGCCGAACUCCGGGAGACGUCGUUGCCGCCCGUCCGAGGGAAGAAGCCGCCGCGGCGGCGGUUUCAAUCCCAAGUAUGCUGAAGAGAUCUGGCUGCCAAAUAAUCUCACCGCCGAACUCCAUUCAGUCUACACAUGUGUUUCUGUACCAUUCGCCCGCCACUGAGGUACGAGAUUGUCGCCGCCGACAUCCGAGAGGAGCCUCCGCCGGACCUCAUCACGGUGUCGUUCGCCGCCGCGGAGGUAUGAGAGGAGCCGAUGCCGCCUUCAUUGCGGACCUCAUCAUGAAGCCAUUCGCCGCCGCCGAGGUACGAGAUCGCCACUGCACGAGAGCACAUCAACUAGCCCAGGCUCCUGCUGCUCCAUCCCUCGAUCCCGCGUCGCUCGCCUUCCGUUCAACGUAGGUUGCGGCCUCUCCUCAUGGAUUCUCCUCCUCUGUUCGCCCCCUCGUGUCUCCUCACGUGAGUGCUUCUGUUGGUGAUGGUUGCGGGUCGUCGAGCUGCGGUGGGCUGGUGCUGCUUAUGGUAUCCCACUAUCCUGUGCCUCUCGCCCUGUGCUUCAUGAGCGGAGGAGGGGUGGUGCUGGCCGUGGACUAGCUGGAUAGCAUAAACUCUCCCUUGUUUUUUUGUGUUUGAAUCAGAUUUGGUGGCUCUCAAUUUUACAUAUGUAUUGAUCUUGGACUUGUUUUGUAUGCAGGGUACACUUGAUGUUUCAUGAUCUGUUCUGCAGAUUUUCAGAACAAUGAGUGCAUAUCUUGGCUUGCAAUGUUGUUGAUUCGACAAAUGUCAUGGAACCUGACAGGUGAGUGCUCCUCUCCCCUUUUCCUCUCUGCUAAAAUUCAGUUCCAAGUUCGCCCAUAUGGAUAUCUUGAUUGAAAUUUGCAGCUCGUUUCUGUCGGACUCGAUGACCGCAUAUGAGCGAACUUGUCCUUCAGAAAUAGUAGGUGAUACUUAUUAUGAUUCAAGAUAUCACCACAUAGACGGCACAGACUAUAAUCAUGAAUAUUUCCCAUUGGCUUCAACGAUUUGGAAGAAUAUUUUUGACAUGAUCUGACGGUUGAUACUUUGGUUCAGGAACUGGCUUUAGACUGGACUUGCGGCUAGAGUAACCCCGAGCAAGCUGAGCUCAAUUGAAAUAUGUAUUCUAAAUUCUGAAGGCAAGCACACGCCCGACACUUUUGCACUUGUAAAAGGCAUGUCGUUUGAAUCAUGCGAAUAAGCGUACGGAUAGUACAAGCUAUUCACUUGGGAGAAUAGUUUCAGAAUUUGUCAUGGAAAACCAAGAUGGGGAGGUGCACAUCACCAGUUGAUGCACAAAAUCGUGUGCUGGUGCCAGGGUAAGAGGGAAAAAGAGAAUUUUUUUUUCGUGCAAAACAGAGUGCAAGGCAAGGAUGCGUCUCCUCCGCACGGCAGAUCAUGGUUGAUAGGUGAGCAUAUUCAGCAACGAGCAUAAUCACCCCUUGUGUGCAAGUCGUGAAGAGACCAGGCAGUGGAACUCACAUAGUGAGGUCAAUCCAGUUCUUAUGAAUUUCAUCAAGAAUCUCAAAAAACGAAGAAAAAACAAUGGGGGCAUCCUCACGAGAUUGAAGGCUACAAAAUUUAUACAAGCGCAAUAUAGAAAAAGUUUGAAGAUGAGUUUUACAAAUCAAUGUCCUUGGUUUUGUGUAGGUGCAUCAGUGAAACUGAAUAUGAAGUUAUGCAUGUGUGCCAAAUAUUUGACCAAACUUGAAGCUAGGCCCUACAUAACAAGUUUAAAGGAUCAUGCAAUUGUGGAUAUUUAGAUCAUAUGGGAAUGUUUAUGCCGACAUUCUAUAAAGGUGAUUGGCAUCUACUAUAAGUCGAUAAAUGAUGCUUUGUUGGUUGCUGCACAACGACAAGAUGAUCGCAUCCCAGCUACUUUGUAUGUAUAAGAUUUGCUACUUCUUGGUCAAUGUUGAUGAGAUGAACUGCUAACUAAGUGUGUUGCCACGGGCCGUUCCAUGCCGAAGGCUGCAACGCCAUGUUUCUUUAUGCUUGUAUCAUGUGCAUCCACAACUCGUAACACUGGUUGUUUCAGGCCCUAAAUAAGCACAUACACUUCAAAAAUUGUCAUGGACUCAUGGCCGUGGACUUAAAAGUGUUUUUGCCAUGUCUGGUAGCUAGGAGGAAUUACAUCAAAGAGCUCGUUAUUUUGCUUUCACGUAUAUGUUAACCAGGUCAUAUCACAAUGACCAUCAAGUCUCAAGUUCAAGCUAUUUGAUUUAGAUUGUGCCAUGCAUAAGUGAAUAUUGUUUUGCAUAGGAAAAUAAGAUUGUAAAUGUAUAUUAUUUGCCUCCAUCAAAUUUAUGAAAUGACAAUCCUUUAUUCGGAAGAACAAGUGAAUACAUAGAUCAAAACAUCUUAAAAUUGGUGACAAAUUAGCGGUUGUUUCCUUUUAUUUAUUGCCUUAUUUCUGGUAUAUGUACCUUCAUUGUGAAAUAUAACAUGACGUACCUUGUCAUUAACUUUCUUUAAUGGGAACUACUUAUAUUUGAUAUUCAUCAUAAACAAAUUCUGAAGGUACUGAAAUCUGUGUACUGAAUUUUGAUUGUGAGUUGGAUGUGUCCUUGAUUGCAGUGAUGGGAUUUGAUUCGAUAAGUGAAGAUAGUGGGUGGAGGAAUAAGAAGAAAAGUCAUUUAAUGAUAUAAUUGAGAAGCUAACAAAGCGGGUUGAUAUACACUAGGAUCCUAAUUUACAUGUUUGACGUAGUUAGUCAACCCGUGUCACUGCCAUAGGUAUAGGGAAAAGACGAUCUAGGAGGUGGCAUCAAGUAAGUGAGUUAGGAAGUAACUAUCAUGUAGGUUGUAUGCAUAACAAAAGGCUGAAUAGGUUAGUAGAUUUGUGUAUGAAAAUAUGAGUAGCACUGUGUGGUGCUUAGACUUCUGAAUUUCUUAAAAAAAAAUUGUCUCUACUUCGUAUAAUGUGCUAUGUUAAUGUAGCUACAGCAUCACAGAAACAUUCUAGCUGCCUCGAAGGAUUUAUAAAUCAUGUCUAAUGAGCCUGACUUGCGCUUACUUUGUCAUGAUUAAAUUUAUUAUUCUUUGUUUAACUUUUAUAUGUGUAAGUAAUAGCUGACAAUUUAAUAGUAGAUAUGUGACCAGCCCAGAGAAGAAUGUGGACUGCUAACAACUGUGCAUUAAACAAGCAUGAAGAAUGGAUGGCAUUUUCAUGUAACAUAACCGAGUAUCAAUUUUAGCUUGAAAGUAUAUGCCAACUCCUGGAGUUUCAAAUGACUUGAAAGAAUGCGAGAAGCGAGUGUAUAGGAGGACCUUGAACAUUAGAGCAGUGGGGGAGGAGCAAAUGACUACAGGGUCUAUCGGCAUGGGUAAAAAACGAGGACAACUCCAUGACGUGGGAAACCUAUAUUUGAUUGACAUGACAGUAGCAAGGUGAAUAGCUAUGUAAUAUCUUUCCAUUAGUUGAUCCAUUUGAUCUGUUUGAAACAAUUGGCAGUUACCUAUAUUUGGAUAGAAAAGUUAUUUGUUAACUUUGUAUCAUUUUUAUGUGUAAGAAUAUGAUGCUAAUAAUAUUUA